ACAUCACGUUGCGAACACUUGUUCUCAAACAAUCAUCGAAGUUAAGCAACGUCGAGUCUUAUCAGUACCUAGAUGGGUGACCGUUCGGGAAUAUCAGGUGCUGAAA